AGUCUGGUGCCAGCAGCCGCGGUAAUUCCAGCUCCAAUAGGAUAUAUCAAAGUUGUUGCAGUUAAAAAGCUCGUAGUUGAAUUUCUGGAAGGUAGAAGUGUUUUUUUUAGAGAAGCAAUUUUUUAUUGAAAACACCGCUUUCCAUUUUGUGGAUUUCUGUUUUGUAUGAGAUAGUUUACUCUAUUUUUAUAUAAAAUACCACUCCGUUACUGAGAGCAAAUUGGAGUGCUCAAAGCAGGCUUUAUUAGCUUUGAACAUUUUAGCUUGGAAUGACAAGAUAUGACUUUUGUUUUAUUUUGUUGGUUAUGAAAUAAAAGUAAUGAUUAACAGGAACAGUUGCGGGGGUACUCGUAUUGAAAGGUCAGAGGUGAAAUUCUUGGAUUCUUUCAAGACGAACGACUGCGAAAGCAUUUACCAAGGAUGUUUUCAUUAAUCAAGAACGAAAGCUCGGGGAUCGAACAUGAUUAGAUACCAUCGUAGUCCGACGCCAUAAACGAUGCCGACUCGGGAUUAUUUUGUUUGUUUAAAAUAAAAAAGAACACAAAGUAGCACCGUAUGAGAAAUCAAAGUCUUUGGGUUCCGGGGGGAGUAUGGUCGCAAGGCUGAAACUUAAAGGAAUUGACGGAAGGGCACACCAGAGGUGGAGCCUGCGGUUUAAUUUGACCCAACACGGGGAAACUUACCAGGUCCAGACAUGAUGAGGAUUGACAGUUUGAAAGCACUUUCUUGAUUUCAUGGGUGGUGGUGCAUGGCCGUUCUUAGUUGGUGGAGUGAUUUGUCUGGUUGAUUCCGAUAACGAACGAGACGGGGUGAAUUUACUAGUUUGUUAUAUAAUUUACGUUAUAUAAGACUUCUUUAUUCGACAACUUGGUUUUACCAAGAGGAAGCGCCCCGCAAUAACAGGUCUGUGAUGCCCUUAGAUGUUCUGGGCUACACGCGCGCUACAAUGACGAAUUCAACGAGUUUAAAAUUUAUUCCUUAUCCGGAAGGAUGUGGGUAAUCUUUUCAAUAUUCGUCGUGAUGGGGCUAGAUUUUUGCAAUUAUUAAUCUUCAACGAGGAAUCUCUAGUAUGUGCAAGUCAUCAGCUUGCGCAGAAUGCGUCCCUGCCCUUUGUACACACCGCCCGUCGCACCUACCGAUUGGACGAUCCGGCAAGAUGUUUGGAGUUGUUUUGAUUGUAGAGUAAUUUAUGAUGAAAGUGACAAAGCUCUUCAAACCUUAUCGUCUAGAGGAAGGUGAAGUCGUAACAAGGUCUCCGUAGGUGAACCUGCGGAGG
rnacentral:rRNA from 1 species